GACGAACGCUGGCGGCGUGUUUAACACAUGCAAGUCGAGCGAUGAAGCUCCUUCGGGAGCGGAUUAGCGGCGGACGGGUGAGUAACACGUGGGUAACCUGCCUCAUAGAGGGGAAUAGCCUUUCGAAAGGAAGAUUAAUACCGCAUAAGAUUGUAGUGCCGCAUGGCAUAGCAAUUAAAGGAGUAAUCCGCUAUGAGAUGGACCCGCGUCGCAUUAGCUAGUUGGUGAGGUAACGGCUCACCAAGGCGACGAUGCGUAGCCGACCUGAGAGGGUGAUCGGCCACAUUGGGACUGAGACACGGCCCAGACUCCUACGGGAGGCAGCAGUGGGGAAUAUUGCACAAUGGGGGAAACCCUGAUGCAGCAACGCCGCGUGAGUGAUGACGGUCUUCGGAUUGUAAAGCUCUGUCUUCAGGGACGAUAAUGACGGUACCUGAGGAGGAAGCCACGGCUAACUACGUGCCAGCAGCCGCCGUAA
rnacentral:rRNA from 1 species